AGAAUCAACGCUGGCGGCGUGCCUAACACAUGCAAGUCGAACGCGAAAGCCCCGAAAGGGGCAAGUAGAGUGGCAAACGGGUGAGUAACACGUGGGUGACCUGCCUUCGAGCGGGGGAUAACGUCCCGAAAGGGACGCUAAUACCGCAUAACAUCCUGCCUUUGAAGAGGUGGAGAUCAAAGCUGGGGAUCGCAAGACCCGGCACUUGAAGAGGGGCCCGCGUCUGAUUAGCUAGUUGGUGGGGUAAUGGGCCUACCAAGGCAACGAUCAGUA
rnacentral:rRNA from 1 species